GGAUCGGUAGCUCAAUGGUAGAGUAGCGGCCUUUUAAGCCGUGGGUUCUGGGUUCGAGUCCCAGCCGAUCCACCA
rnacentral:tRNA from 2 species